rnacentral:rRNA from 1 species
AUGCGGUGGAGGGGUACGGCGCUGCCACGGUGCCUCGUCGGAAUCAGAUGGCUUGUGCUUCUCCUGCUCUCCACCAUGGGGGCGACGCGCGCACACGACAGCGAUGAGAGAGCUCUCCAAGCUUUCAAGGAAAGGAUUUCAGACCAUUCCGGGGCGCUGGCCUCCUGGAACCGGAGCAUCAGCUACUGCACCUGGGAGGGCGUCACGUGCAGCCGGCGGCACGGGUCGAGGGUGGUCGCUCUGGACCUCAACUCCCAGGGGCUCGCCGGCACCAUCUCCCCCUCCAUCGGCAACCUCACUUUCCUCCGGAGGCUCAACUUGAGCCUGAAUCCCUUGCACGGCAAGAUUCCUCCCAGCAUCGGCUCCCUCCGCCGCCUCAAGUACCUUGGACUGCGAGGGAACAUGCUCACUGGUGCGAUCCCAAGCAACAUUAGCCGCUGCACCAACCUCAGGGUGAUGAUAAUUGCUGACAACAAGGGGUUGCAAGGAAGCAUACCUUCUGAGAUCGGCAACAUGAUGCAAUCGCUGCGUGUUGUACACCUAUACAACAACAGCCUCACUGGGACCAUCCCCUCAUCACUUGGGAACCUCUCACAGGUGACCAUCUUGUCCCUGGCAGCGAACCAUCUCGAGGGAUCAAUCCCCGAGGGCAUCGGGAACAAUGCACAUCUCAAGUUCCUUCAGCUGGCCAUGAAUAACUUCUCAGGUUUGCUUCCUCUUUCGCUGUACAAUCAGUCAUCUCUGUACAUGUUUUUUGUGACGGACAACUACCUGCACGGCCGUCUACCAGCUGAUCUGGGAAGAAGCCUUCCUAGCUUACAACAGUUUGGAUUUGGGAAUAACCGAUUCACUGGAGUUGUGCCUCCAUCACUGACUAAUAUCUCCAGACUCGAGCUUUUUGAUGUUGCAAAUAACGGAUUCAGUGGGGUUGUCCCUUCAGACUUGGGAAAUUUGCAGUAUCUUAGAUGGUUUAAUCUGGUUGGAAACAAGUUUGAGGCAAACAAUGAACAAGAAUGGCGCUUCUUUACUUCUUUGACAAACUGUAGCAGGUUGCAGCUGUUAAAUAUAGAACAAAACAGGUUCUCGGGGCAAUUACCAACCUCAUUGUCUAACUUGUCCACAAACAUCCGAGAGCUAGAUAUUUUUAACAACAAUAUAUCUGGUACUAUUCCAUCGGAUAUUGGAAAUUUGAUAGGUCUUGAGGUGCUUAUUCUUGCUGGCAACUUGCUCACUGGGGCCAUUCCUGAGACCAUAGGGAAGCUUAUACGAUUGAAGAAGCUACAUCUGAGUUCCAACAACUUAUCAGGAUUCAUCCCCUCUUCCAUCGGAAACCUCACUGGUCUUUAUAGGCUUGGUGCAAGCUUCAACAGCUUGGAGGGACCGAUUCCAUCAAGCAUUGGAAAUUUGACCAAACUUUCAUCAUUAGAUAUAUCGACGAACCAUCUUUCUAGCUCAAUUCCAAAGGAAAUUACGCAACUAUCAUCCAUCUCAAUUUAUUUGGCCUUGUCUUACAACUUGCUGGAGGGACCUCUACCUUCAGAAAUUGGCAAUUUGGUAAAUCUCGAACAGCUUAUUCUAUCAGGGAACCAGUUGUCUGGUAAAAUACCUGCAACCAUUGGUGGCUGCGUAGUCCUGGAAACCCUCUUGAUGGAUGGCAAUUCAUUCCAAGGAAACAUCCCUCCCACUUUGAAGAACAUCAAAGGGCUUACUGUACUGAAUUUGACAAACAACAAACUGAACGGCAGCAUCCCAGGGGAACUGAGCAAUAUUACCAGCUUGCAGGAACUGUAUCUUGCACAUAAUGAUCUGUCAGGGUCAAUCCCUGAACUCCUGGGUUAUUCAACAUCGCUGCUCCACCUCGACAUAUCGUUCAACAGUUUACAAGGUGAGGUACCAAAAGAAGGGAUUUUCAGGAAUUUAACUGGACUAUCAAUUUUUGGAAACAAUGAGUUAUGUGGUGGAAUACCACAGCUUCAACUGCCAAAAUGCCCAAGCUCCAAGAAAGGCUUGCCGAAGUCCAUGAGAAUAGCUGUCCCUACAGCAGUUGGUACCCUCGUCUUAUUUGUAGCUCUUGCUUUAGCUGGAUUUCUGUACAGAAAAUUUAAGUCAGGAUUGAGGAAAGAACAACUGUCACCUCAGAAGAUCAUGAUUGACCUUCCAAUGGUUUCAUACAACGACAUACUCAAAGCAACGGACGGGUUUUCAGAAGCCAAUCUGCUCGGGAAGGGAAGAUACGGUACUGUAUACAAAGGCACUAUAGAAAAUUUUGCUGCAGCUGUGAAGGUGUUUAAUCUGCAGCAAUCUGGAUCCUACAAGAGCUUCCUGGAUGAAUGUGAGGCACUAAGAAGAGUUAGGCACCGUUGCCUUGUAAAGAUAAUCACAUGUUGUUCAAGCAUCAACCACCAAGGCCAAGACUUCAGAGCGCUAGUCUUCGAGCUCAUGCCCAAUUUCAGCUUAGACCGCUGGAUCCACCCAGAUAUUGAAAGCCAAAACAGAAUGGGAACACUCAGCUUGUCACAGAGGUUAAAUAUCGCCGUUGACCUCGUGGAUGCUAUAGACUAUCUUCACAAUGGUUGCCAACCUUCCAUCAUCCAUUGCGAUCUCAAGCCAAGCAACAUUCUUCUCACAGAGGACAUGAGGGCUCGUGUUGGGGAUUUUGGCAUUGCUAGAAUUCUAAAAGAAGCUGCAAGCGAAGCUUCUGCAAGUUCCCUUAGCUCCAUGGGAAUAAGAGGAUCCAUUGGAUAUGUUGCUCCAGAAUAUGGAGAAGGGCUUCCGGUAUCUACUUAUGGUGAUGUGUACAGCCUUGGGAUCACCUUGAUCGAGAUGUUUACUGGAAGGUGUCCGACAGACGACAUGUUCAGAGAUGGGCUAACCCUGCAAUGCUUUGCAGAGGCAGCAGGUCUUCCUGGGAAUGUCAUGGUGAUAGCAGACUCCAACAUCCGGCUGCAUGAUGAAGCAAACAAUAGCGCUGACGCAGAACAUAUAACCAGAGCCAAGGAAUGUUUGGCUGCCAUCAUCCAGCUUGGCAUCCUAUGCUCAAAGCAAUUGCCAAGAGAAAGGAUGUCAACAAGUGAUGCUGCUGCAGAGAUGCAUGCUAUCAGAGAUGCCUACAUCAGUAAUCAGAGAUGA